AAGCGGAGGAAAAGAAACCAACAGGGAUUGCCCUAGUUACGGCGAGUGAAGCGGCAACAGCUCAAAUUUGAAAUCUGGCUCUUUCAGAGUCCGAGUUGUAAUUUGCAGAGGGCGCUUUGGCUUUGGCAGCGGUCCAAGUUCCUUGGAACAGGACGUCACAGAGGGUGAGAAUCCCGUACGUGGUCGCUAGCUAUUGCCGUGUAAAGCCCCUUCGACGAGUCGAGUUGUUUGGGAAUGCAGCUCUAAAUGGGAGGUAAAUUUCUUCUAAAGCUAAAUAUUGGCCAGAGACCGAUAGCGCACAAGUAGAGUGAUCGAAAGAUGAAAAGCACUUUGGAAAGAGAGUCAAACAGCACGUGAAAUUGUUGAAAGGGAAGCGCUUGCAGCCAGACUUGCUUGCAGUUGCUCAUCCGGGCUUUUGCCCGGUGCACUCUUCUGUAGGCAGGCCAGCAUCAGUUUGGGCGGUGGGAUAAAGGUCUCUGACACGUUCCUUCCUUCGGGUUGGCCAUAUAGGGGAGACGACAUACCACCAGCCUGGACUGAGGUCCGCGCAUCUGCUAGGAUGCUGGCGUAAUGGCUGUAAGCGGCCCGUCUUGACCCACGGACCA
rnacentral:rRNA from 1 species